GUUCCCGAAGGGACAUCCGAUAAAAUUAGAAUGAUACAGAAAAAAUUAGCUUGACCCUUGCAGAAGGAUGACACGCACAAAUCGAGAAAUGAUCCAAGUAGAG